GGGCAGGGGGGGUAGGACACCAGGGUAGGUGGGCCCAUGGGGCUGAUCUGGACAGGGCAGGUGGGACACCAGGGUAGAUGGGCCUAUGGAUCUGAUCAAUUUCAGCUCAUUCUAGUUUCUUGCUCACAUCAAAGUUGGGGGGGGAGGG